rnacentral:lncRNA from 1 species
AUGCUGCAACAAGCUUCACCUCCCUUCCCUGGACCUUCCCCGGCCGCUUUCCUCACCGGAACUACCGCUGCCAUGGCCGCCGCCGUCGUCCUGUACAGACCGCCGCCAGCGGCCAUCUCGCCAUCGUUCUGGACGUCGCCACCGAGGGGAAUGGAACCCCCUCGGCUCCCUGACCCCGCGCUCAUCUCCCUUGGCCUCCCCACUACCCUCCUAGCCACUAGCUAGCCCCUCCUCUGUCGCCUGCACAGGAGAACGGAGAAAGAAGAACGAGAGAGAAAGAAGAACGACGAAAGUACGGAGGAGAGAGAAAGGAGGAGGAGGAGGAGGAAAAAGGAAAAGGAAAGAAAAGAAAAUAGGAAAAAUAAAAUAAUAAUAAUAAUAAUAAU